GCUUGCUUUCUUUGCUGGCGACCGGCGCACGGGUGAGUAACACGUAUCCAACCUACCCUUUACUCGUGGAUAGCCUUUCGAAAGAAAGAUUAAUACCCGAUAGCAUAAUGAUUCCGCAUGGUUUCAUUAUUAAAGGAUUCCGGUAAAGGAUGGGGAUGCGUUCCAUUAGGUUGUUGGUGGGGUAACGGCCCACCAAGCCUUCGAUGGAUAGGGGUUCGGAGAGGAAGGUCCCCCACAUUGGAACUGAGACACGGUCCAAACUCCUACGGGAGGCAGCAUG
rnacentral:rRNA from 1 species